rnacentral:rRNA from 1 species
GACGGGACCCGCACAAGCGGUGGAUGAUGUGGAUUAAUUCGAAGCAACGCGAAGAACCUUACCAGGUCUUGACAUCCCGAUGCUAUUUCUAGAGAUAGAAAGUACUUCGGUACAUCGGUGACAGGUGGUGCAUGGUUGUCGUCAGCUCGUGUCGUGAGAUGUUGGGUUAAGUCCCGCAACGAGCGCAACCCCUAUUGUUAGUUGCCAUCAUUCAGUUGGGCACUCUAGCGAGACUGCCGGUAAUAAACCGGAGGAAGGUGGGGAUGACGUCAAAUCAUCAUGCCCCUUAUGACCUGGGCUACACACGUGCUACAAUGGUUGGUACAACGAGUUGCGAGUCGGUGACGGCGAGCUAAUCUCUUAAAGCCAAUCUCAGUUCGGAUUGUAGGCUGCAACUCGCCUACAUGAAGUCGGAAUCGCUAGUAAUCGCGGAUCAGCACGCCGCGGUGAAUACGUUCCCGGGCCUU